UCGUUGACCCCUGGCCUCUCUCUCAAACUGCCUCAUCCAUCCCCGCCGAAGCGAUCGCCGAGUGUUCGACGAGUGCCUGAGCGGAGUUCAUCGCCGCAAGCAUAAAGCUACCCACCUCGCGGAGUUCGUUCCCCGGCGCGUCGACGCUGGAAGAAUGCCAGUCCGGGAGCUUCAUCUUGUUUGGACCUUUGAACGACUAGUUUGAAGAAUUCAUCGCAUGAGUUUGCUCUUCUCAUUUCUCAGUACUGAAGAUUGGCCCAUCGGCUCAUCUUGAUACAUAUGGAGCGGGAUCACUCGGCUUUGAAGAAAAUGAGAUUGGACGACACAGAAGAUUCUGCGAUCAGUCAAGUGCCUGCCAUGGCGUCUAGUAUGAAUCAGCAACUGUUCUGGAGCCAGUGGCAGCUACUGGAUUCCAUUCUCCCCACAGGCGGUUUCGCACACUCCUACGGCCUGGAAGCAGCUAUGCAAUCGCGCAUAGUGAACAACCAGGAAGACCUGAGGCUGUUCCUCAUCCAGGUCGUGGACAACAUUGGAAGCCUGCUGCUUCCAUUUGUGUACUGCGCCAGUAGGUCUCCUGACGCCGCGGCAUGGGUCAAGCUAGAUCAGCUGCUGGACGCUACAUUGACGAACGAGGUCGGCAGGAAGGCAUCCACAUCCCAAGGCUCGGCUCUGUUGAGGGUGGCCGCGUCUGUCUUCACUGAGAUCCAGUCGCUGCAGGAUCUCCGACGGACAUUUCUCGGUUCCACGAGCGUGUCCUUUCACCAUGCCCCGAUAUUCGGGUUGAUAUGUGGGCUGGUUGGAUUUGAUAGCGAGACAACACAACGCGCUUACAUGUUUGUGGCAAUGAGGGAUGUGAUCUCUGCCGCGACGAGGCUCAAUUUGAUCGGACCGCUAGCUGCUUCGGUUCUGCAGCACCAGGUUGCGCCAGAUGCCGAGAAGAUGCUGCAAAAGUGGAGGGACCGUGAUGUCUCUGAAGCAUCACAGACUGCGCCGCUGCUUGACGCAUUGCAAGGCUGCCAUGCUUACAUGUUCUCUAGGCUGUUUUGCUCCUAAUAGUGAGGUUGCUGAAUGCAAUUUGGUGUAGUUCUGCUCAUGGUUUUACCUCAGAGAAGUACAGGACCCCUGGCUUUACUAAACAACAAUGGCAUCAGAAGAUUACAAGCAUCCUGAGGAAAGAUGCCCAGUAUAAUUCUUUAUUUUACUUGCAAGCAAGAUUGUACAAAAAUGCCAAUAGUACAUUAUGUUCAUGUUGCUGAAUGUAAUUUGGUGUACUUCUGCUCACAGUUUUACCCCGGAGAGUAGAGAACUACUGGCUUUUCCUAAAGAAAAAUGGCAUCAGAAGAUUGCAAGCACCCCGAGGACAGAUGCCCAGUACGAUUCUAUAUUUGCAGGCAAGAUUGUACAACAAUCUAUUACACUCAUCAUACAUAGGAUACAUCUAUCUUUAGCUUCACCAAAUACAACAAUUAUAAUUCUGUGUCCCAUAUUAUGUUCAUGUGUGAAUGCUUUCUUAGCAUAGCAUACACUCACUGUAACAAAUGUAAGACAUUCUGGCAGUUUAAAUACAUUUGUUUACAGAGGAAGUAGAUCUCAACAGCUCGGAGAAGUUGACCUUGCCAAACCCACCGCAGCUACCAUUCUGGUACUCUUGCCCAGUCUCGUCCUCCAUGGACCUGAUCCUUUGGAUCUCUCCAAGAACAAGGUUGGCCUGAACAUAAUAUAAUAGCUGAUGCAGUUAGAUUUGGAUCACAGAGACUAGAUAAACAUAGCAAAGAUGCUGUCCUAAGUCAGUAGGGCACUGAACCUCAAGUUACUGAAUUAUAGCAUAAAUACUAGUAGUACUAUCUGCUGAACCAAAAUAAAGUUGGAUUCUUUGGCCUUUUACUAUUCAAGGAGCUUUAUUCCCCUUUAAGUUGUCACAAUCUUUAUAAAGAUGCAUCAUGACCUUCACUAUCAUAUGGCUCGUAUGACCAAAACCAAGAUUUGAUACCUUACGCACGCACCGUGUGAUGCAGAACUCAAAAUCGGUUCUUCUUUAUUUUACUUGCAAGCAAGAUUAUACAACAAUGCCAACAGUACAUUUUGUUCAUGUGUGAGCCGAGC